ACACACUUAUCUCAAUGGUUAGAGCAUUUGGACCUAGAAAGCCAAAGGUUGUGGGUUAGAGUCCCAUAGUGUACA
rnacentral:tRNA from 1 species